rnacentral:rRNA from 1 species
UAAUACAACCCUAUGCGAUGGAUCACUUGGCUCGCGAGUCGAUGAAGAGCGCAGCAAACUGCGUGAAUUAAUGUGAUUUGCAGGACACAUUGAUCAUCGAUAUCUUGAACGCAUAUUGCGGUUAUGGAUCACUUCCAUGACCACGCCUGUCUGAGGGUCGGUAUU